UUUUUGAACGGAAUCUUCCUCUAGAUAAGCUUCCCUCUUGUUGGACUGGUGCUGUUCUCGUUUCCUCUUUGUUUGUUUUCUUUUCCCUUUUUUUAUCUUCUUUUCUUGAAGACAUUUAUUUUUUGCAACAUCUUUAGGACAUUAUUUUAUGCAAGUGCUUGAUGAAAUGACAUAAAGAUUGGGUUCAAGCUGGCUCAGUCGUUUGGUGCAGUGGCAAGGGACACAUGACCUCAGUCCAUUUGCCUAGGCGAUGUCCGGUGAGUGUAGAAUAAUAUCUUGAUAUAAAUGUUCAAUUAUUUUAUUUAUUGACGACGAGGCAUACUGCUAGGAUUUUAACGUGUCAAGCCACAACUGGCAUGCCAUUUUGAGCCGUACAAUACUUGUAAGUGCGGACAAUGUCCAGUGAUAUAUUGGGACCUAGUGGCCUGAAUUUUAUAAUUACAAACGGGACACCAAAACUUUCAAGACAAAAUCAUGUGGCCCUCAUUCAUGAUAAUGUAACCCGAAGAACCUACCUCAUGUUGCAUUUAUGUG
rnacentral:lncRNA from 1 species